UUCUAGUUCUUAAUAUUUGUCUUUCUGAAUAAUAGUUUAAAGCAAUAUUUGUUAAAGUUUUCUUGCACUAUCACAAUUGCUUUUUAGUUAUUUCUCAAGAAGCAUGUUUGUAGUAGAGACAAAAAAUCUGUGUAACAGGAAGGAGGAUAGCGCCAAGUCUCUGGGCUUUUAUUUUUUGUUUUUGUUUUUGUUUGUUUUUCUUUUUCAAAUGUGCUUCUAAUAGCCAUUGCCUUCCAUGUUGUUUACCUAAUCAGCACAUUUUGUCUGAAUACUUGAACAUUUUAACAGUAACACAGGUAUAGAAACGGAAAGGAAACUUAUAAAGAGUAAUCUUUUGGUUCAGUUUUAACAUCAUGACAAUGAGCGCUUUUUCUAGCAAUGAUUUUUAAAUUUUGUAAAUUUGACAGUAUUUUGUUGUUGGUUUUUUAUUUGGUUAGUCGCCUGCUUUUAAUUUGCAGAAGUUAGUAACUGCAGCUCACCUACUGCACCAAAGUUCUCGAUUUUAGGAGCCCAGCUUUAGUCAUUUGAACAUGCUUCUAAAUAAAACAAAACGAAAAACCAAAACUAUACUUUUAAUCUACAAUAAUAGCUCAAUAACUUUGUCAAGGAAAGCUCUAAUAUAUGCAGUGAUGGUUUAUGGAAGGGUGUGGCAAUUUUAAAUUUAUAUUGUGUGUGAUGUUCAAAUAAAGUGAUAUCUACAUUCAUGUGAUUUAUUGGUCAGCAUGACCAUUAAUUAUUGUGUAGAAAUUGGUUAAACUUUGAUUUCCUUUUUUUAAAUCGUGUUGCAUUUGAUUCCUGAUCAAAUUCCCUCAAAGUGAACUCUUGAUCUUAGAUUUUGAAUUUUGUGUGAUCAUGGUUCAUCAUUAUCAGCUGUGUGAAAUUUUAAAGGAAUCAAAUAAUUCAUGAUGAUUUAAAUUUUCUGCAGAUACAUUUUUUUAUACAGUGUUUCUUUCUUACCGACAGUUCUCAUUCUCUCUCUCUGUCUCUCUCUCUGUCUCUCUGUCACUGACCUCAGCACCAAAUUUAACUUGAAUUCACUUAGGAUCACAGGAAUCAGGGGAAAGUGAUUAAAGGUGGUUUCUCCAGCACAUUUUAAGAAAAGGGACCAAAAGUUAUUUUAGCUUCCACAAUAGAUUGCAUGUCAAGUUGCUUAUUAGGAUAAUAAAUUAAUAUUAAAUGCAAUAUAUGUCUUGUCUUUACUAUGGCAUCUGUUUAGGAGUUGUUCAAAUCACUGCAGUAGGGCUCUGCAAAUAAAAUCAUGUAACCUAUUAUCAUGGAUCUAAUGUACUGUAACUUUAUCAAUGAAAGGUAAAAAAUCUCGAAUAACAAGUACAAACAUUGAACAAUGACCUAUAAAGAUUUGUAAAAGUAAAAUUUUUCCAAUAGAUUUCAUUCUUGUCAUUUUGUAAGACGAUCCUGCAGUCCACCUGUUUGUAACUUUUUUAAUAAAAUAGACAUCUG
rnacentral:lncRNA from 1 species